rnacentral:rRNA from 1 species
UACGUAGGGUGCGAGCGUUGUCCGGAAUUAUUGGGCGUAAAGAGCUUGUAGGCGGUUUGUCGCGUCUGCCGUGAAAAUUCGAGGCUCAACCUCGAACUUGCGGUGGGUACGGGCAGACUAGAGUGCGGUAGGGGGAGAUCGGAAUUCCUGGUGUAGCGGUGAAAUGCGCAGAUAUCAGGAGGAACACCGGUGGCGAAGGCGGAUCUCUGGGCCGUAACUGACGCUGAGGAGCGAAAGCCAGGGGAGCGAAACGGG